AUUGAACGCUGGCGGCAGGCCUAACACAUGCAAGUCGAGCGAGCGGCGGACGGGUGAGUAAUGUCUGGGAAACAGCCUGAUAGAGGGGGAUAACUACUGGAAACGGUAGCUAAUACAGAAUACCAUCCGAUGUGCCAAGAUGGGAUUAGCUAGUAGGUGGGGGAACGGCUCACAUAGGCGAGGAACCCUAGCGUGUCUGAGAGGAUGACCAGCCACACUUGAACUGAGACACGGUCCAUACUCCUACGGGAGGCAGCAGUGGGGAAUAGUGAACAAUGGGCGCAAGCCUGAUCCAGCCAUGCCGCGUGUGUGAAGAAGGUCUUCGGAUUGUAAAGCACUGUAAGUUGGGAGGCGUUACCAACAGAAUAAGCCCCGGCUAACUUCGUGCCAGCAGCCGCGGUAAUAC
rnacentral:rRNA from 1 species